ensembl:lncRNA
CAACGUUAUAUUUAGGAUUUGUAGACUGCAGAGUCGCAAGAAAAUAACUGCAUCAAGGAAAGAAAUCUGGUGGAAUCAUAAACCAUGAGAAUGCAAAGCCUGAAUCAUCAGAGCCCGCAGAAGCCUGGGAUUUAUUCCACCAGCAGUCACUGCAGCUCAUCCAUUUGUUGGUGUUUGGGGUAUUGCCUUGGCGUUGAAGGAGUUUAUGCUUCAAUGUUGGUUUGUUUACCGAGGCAGUAACUGCAGCAUGUGAGAAUGACUGAAGCUGUGAAAUGGUUCUUAGUACCUUAGAAGACAGAUUUCAAACUGUAUUGUUUUGAACUGCGCUUCCUCCUUCUGGCACCGGUGCUGCUGAAAGCUCCAAAGAUAUUAACUCCCAGGAAUUUGACUAUUGUUCAGAUGUGGCUUUCCACACGAUGAUUCACACCAUUCUCAUCUUGUGCAUCCUGGCGUUCAAGAGAUUAUGAGUCCCUUGCUCCUAAGUACCACUCUAGAAUACAAAAUGCCCCAAGGCAAGAUGGCAAAGCAUAAGGCUGUGACACCCCCAGUGCUGCCCACAGCAAGCUCCUCCUGUGGCAGCUGAAAGCCUCCCAAAGGGCUACCAAGGUUUAUGGCUCCAAGAUAUGGUGUUGCUUCUCUCUACAAGACCAGGUAGGACAUGCAACGUCAGUGGUAUCAACGGUGUCAAGGGUUGGCUCAGGUAAUUUUGCCUUCCAGUGAAACCAAAACAUCAUGUCUUCAUUUUGUAUUUGAGAUGGAGAGAAACUUUAAUGACUUUCAGUUACUUGCAUUUGGGCGGAGAAGACAAGAUCCUUGUCAUGGCAUCUCAAGGGACAGCAGAGCACACACGGUCCAUGUCUCCUGGCUCCCUCAAACAGAAGGGCACGUAUACUGUUCAAGAAGAGCCACUUUCUUCACAAGUCAACACAGUGCCAUAGUGUCCUCAGCGAGCAGGAAGGAGGGAUGGGGCAAAAGAGCGUUUCAGAGAAAGAGAUGAGAGCAGUGGUGACAUUUAUUUCAAGACCUUCACGAUGAAAGGUUCCUCGUGCUCUGAGGACUCAUUCAUGCCAUUUCAGAGCUGGCAUUCAACCAGGGCUUAAUCUGGUGCAGAAUGAAAUCAGGCAUUAUGAAGAGAUGGAUGGUUGUAAUUGAAAUAAUAACAUAAAUAUAAUUGAAAUAUAAAUAUAUGUGCGCACACACACGCACAGUGUGUAAAACCUUCAUGGAAGCAACAAUAACCUUUCAGCUCCGCGAGCCAACCAGCCUAUUCCUGUAACCGCCUCUAAUCUGUCUAUUUGCACCUGGGGUUCUUUAAGGAAACGCAGAGUUGUAAUUAACUGCGGGUGUGGAGAAGUCAUAUGAGUGGGAUAUUCACACUGCAAGACCAGAGCGUGCAUUUGCACCGGGUCACGAGCAUAGAGAGAGCAGGCGCGCCAGCUCCAUCCCCAGAGGACGAUUUACGUGCUCUCCGUCAUCAAAUGGCCACACAGCACAACUCACAGAUUUCCUCCAG